rnacentral:rRNA from 1 species
AUACGGAGGGUGCAAGCGUUGUCCGGAUUUAUUGGGUUUAAAGGGUGCGUAGGCGGUCAAUUAAGUCAGUGGUGAAAUCCUCCCGCUCAACGGGAGAACUGCCAUUGAUACUGGUUGACUUGAGUACAUACGAGGUAGGCGGAAUUUAUGGUGUAGCGGUGAAAUGCAUAGAUACCAUAAAGAACACCGAUAGCGAAGGCAGCUUACUGGACUGUAACUGACGCUGAGGCACGAAAGCAUGGGUAGCGAACAGAAUUAGAAACCCUAGUAGUCC